rnacentral:rRNA from 1 species
CAACCGCAAAACAAGCAGAGGGGGCUUAGUGGUGGGGUGACUGCGUACCUUUUGUAUAAUGGGUCAGCGACUUAUAUUCUGUAGCAAGGUUAACCGUAUAGGGGAGCCGGAGGGAAACCGAGUCUUAACCGGGCGUUAAGUUGCAGGGUAUAGACCCGAAACCCGGUGAUCUAGCCAUGGGCAGGUUGAAGGUUGGGUAACACUAACUGGAGGACCGAACCGACUAAUGUUGAAAAAUUAGCGGAUGACCUGUGGCUGGGGGUGAAAGGCCAAUCAAACCGGGAGAUAGCUGGUUCUCCCCGAAAGCUAUUUAGGUAGCGCCUCGUGAAUUCAUCUCCGGGGGUAGAGCACUGUUUCGGCUAGGGGGCCAUCCCGGCUUACCAACCCGAUGCAAACUGCGAAUACCGGAGAAUGUUAUCACGGGAGACACACGGCGGGUGCUAACGUCCGUCGUGAAGAGGGAAACAACCCAGACCGCCAGCUAAGGUCCCAAAGUCAUGGUUAAGUGGGAAACGAUGUGGGAAGGCCCAGACAGCCAGGAUGUUGGCUUAGAAGCAGCCAUCAUUUAAAGAAAGCGUAAUAGCUCACUGGUCGAGUCGGCCUGCGCGGAAGAUGUAACGGGGCUAAACCAUGCACCGAAGCUGCGGCAGCGAACGUAUCACCCAAGACAACUUUACGGAGUUGACGAUUGACGGAGCGAAGCGACGUCAAAGCGUUCAUUAAAGUCGAGUUGGCUUAGGGAUACGUUCGUUGGGUAGGGGAGCGUUCUGUAAGCCUGUGAAGGUGUGUCGUGAGGCAUGCUGGAGGUAUCAGAAGUGCGAAUGCUGACAUAAGUAACGAUAAAGCGGGUGAAAAGCCCGCUCGCCGGAAGACCAAGGGUUCCUGUCCAACGUUAAUCGGGGCAGGGUGAGUCGACCCCUAAGGCGAGGCCGAAAGGCGUAGUCGAUGGGAAACGGGUUAAUAUUCCCGUACUUGGUGUUACUGCGAAGGGGGGACGGAGAAGGCUAUGUUGGCCGGGCGACGGUUGUCCCGGUUUAAGCGUGUAGGUGUGUGUUCCAGGUAAAUCCGGUUCACUUUAACACUGAGGCGUGACGACGAGGCACUACGGUGCUGAAGCAACAAAUGCCCUGCUUCCAGGAAAAGCCUCUAAGCAUCAGGUAACACGAAAUCGUACCCCAAACCGACACAGGUGGUCAGGUAGAGAAUACCAAGGCGCUUGAGAGAACUCGGGUGAAGGAACUAGGCAAAAUGGUGCCGUAACUUCGGGAGAAGGCACGCUGACACGUAGGUGAAGUGAUUUACUCAUGGAGCUGAAGUCAGUCGAAGAUACCAGCUGGCUGCAACUGUUUAUUAAAAACACAGCACUGUGCAAACACGAAAGUGGACGUAUACGGUGUGACGCCUGCCCGGUGCCGGAA